rnacentral:tRNA from 9 species
GCACCCGUAGCUCAGCUGGAUAGAGCACCAGACUACGAAUCUGGGGGUCAGAGGUUCGAAUCCUCUCGGGUGUGCCA